CUCAUUUAGAGGAAGUAAAAGUCGUAACAAGGUUUCCGUAGGUGAACCUGCGGAAGGAUCAUUAUCACGUUAUCCACGUUAUCAACCAAUAUGUGCACUGUCUUGUUUACCUUUAAGAAUUAAGCUGGAUAGACCAUCAUUCAUUGUGUGAUUUUGAAUGACUAUCUACUAUUGAGUUUGUUCUACAAACUCAUGAAUAUGGCUUUGUUCUUGAAGUGUAUUUAAAUCACACUUCUAACUAUUAACCACUUGAACCUUUUUUAAUUAUUCUUUGUUUGAUCUGAUUUGUUUCUUACUCGAUUUGGCUUGUUCAAAUUGAGAAGAAAUUAUCAUACGAAACAAUAAAGAACAACUCUUAGCAACGGAUAUCUUGGUUCUC
rnacentral:misc_RNA from 1 species